GCGGAGGAAAAGAAACUAACAAGGAUUCCCCUAGUAACGGCGAGUGAAGCGGGAAGAGCUCAAAUUUGUAAUCUGGCACCUUCGGUGUCCGAGUUGUAAUCUCGAGAAGUGUUUUCCGCGCCGGACCGCAUAUAAGUCUGUUGGAAUACAGCGUCAUAGUGGUGAGAACCCCGUAACUGAUGCGGAUGCCCGGUGCUUUGUGAUACACUUUCGAAGAGUCGAGUUGUUUGGGAAUGCAGCUCAAAUUGGGUGGUAAAUUCCAUCUAAAGCUAAAUAUUGGCGAGAGACCGAUAGCGAACAAGUACCGUGAGGGAAAGAUGAAAAGCACUUUGGAAAGAGAGUUAACAGUACGUGAAAUUGUUGGAAGGGAAACGCUUGAAGUCAGACUUGCUAUUUGGAGUUCAGCCGCAAGGUGUAUUCUUCGAUUUGCAGGCCAGCAUCAGUUUUCUGGGGUGGAAAAGGGUAUUGAGAAGGUAGCAGUUUCGGCUGUGUUAUAGCUCUUUGCUGGAUUCAUCCUGGGGGACUGAGGAACGCAGCGCGCUUUUUGCAAGGCCUUCGGGCUUUUCGUGCUUAGGAUGCUGGUGGAAUGGCUUUAAACGACCCGU
rnacentral:rRNA from 1 species